GACGAACGCUGGCGGCGUGCUUAACACAUGCAAGUCGAACGGAAAGGCCCUGCUUUUGUGGGGUGCUCGAGUGGCGAACGGGUGAGUAACGCGUGAGUAACCUGCCCUUGACUUUGGGAUAACUUCAGGAAACUGGGGCUAAUACCGGAUAGGAGCUCCUGCUGCAUGGUGGGGGUUGGAAAGUUUCGGCGGUUGGGGAUGGACUCGCGGCUUAUCAGCUUGUUGGUGGGGUAGUGGCUUACCAAGGCUUUGACGGGUAGCCGGCCUGAGAGGGUGACCGGCCACAUUGGGACUGAGAUACGGCCCAGACUCCUACGGGAGGCAGCAGUGGGGAAUAUUGAACAAUGGGCGGAAGCCUGAUGCAGCAACGCCGCGUGCGGGAUGACGGCCUUCGGGUUGUAAACCGCUUUCGCCUGUGACGAAGCGUGAGUGACGGUAAUGGGUAAAGAAGCACCGGCUAACUACGUG
rnacentral:rRNA from 1 species